CUCUUCUAAUCAAAAGAGAGGAUUCGUGAUUAUCACUGCUCAUUUCAUAGAUGAUGCGUGAAAAUUACAGAGUCGAAUCAUGAGGUUUAUAUAUGUGCCGUGUCCACACACUACUGAUGUGCUUUCAGAAACUUUAUUAAGCAGCUUGAUGGACUGGAAUAUUGAUUG